rnacentral:rRNA from 1 species
ACGGGUGAGUAAUGCCUAGGAAUCUGCCUGGUAGUGGGGGGCAACGUUUCUAAAGGAACGCUAAUACCGCAUACGUCCUACGGGAGAAAGCAGGGGACCUUCGGGCCUUGCGCUAUCUGAUGACCCUAGGUCGGAUUACCUAGUUGGAGAGGUAAUGGCUCACCGAGGCGACUAUCCGUAGCUGGUCUGAGAGGAUGAUCAGUCACACUGGAACUGAAACACGGUCCAGACUCCUACGGGAGGCACCAGUGGGGAAUAUUGGACAAUGGGCGAAAGCCUGAUCCAACCAUGCCGCGUGUGUGAACAACGUCUUCGGAUUGUAAAGCACUUUAAGUUGGGAGGAAUGGUUGUAAAUUAAUACUCUGCAAUUUUGACUUUACCUACAGAAUAAGCACCGGCUAACUCUGUGCCAUCACCCGCGGUAAUACACAGGGUGCAAGCGUUAAUCGAAAUUACUGGGCGUAAAUCGCGCGUAUGUGGUUUGUUAAGUUGGAUGUGAAAUCCCCAGGCUCAACCUGGGAACUGCAUC